CAGGUGGUGCAUGGUUGUCGUCAGCUCGUGUCGUGAGAUGUUGGGUUAAGUCCCGCAACGAGCGCAACCCUUAAACUUAGUUGCCAGCAUUUAGUUGGGCACUCUAGGUUGACUGCCGGUGACAAACCGGAGGAAGGUGGGGAUGACGUCAAAUCAUCAUGCCCCUUAUGAUUUGGGCUACACACGUGCUACAAUGGACAAUACAAAGGGCAGCUAAACCGCGAGGUCAUGCAAAUCCCAUAAAGUUGUUCUCAGUUCGGAUUGUAGUCUGCAACUCGACUACAUGAAGCUGGAAUCGCUAGUAAUCGUAGAUCAGCAUGCUACGGUGAAUACGUUCCCGGGUCUUGUACACACCGCCCGUCACACCACGAGAGUUUGUAACACCCGAAGCCGGUGGAGUAACCAUUUAUGGUAGCUAGCGCGUCGAGUAGUGGAUCACCAGCUCCGG
rnacentral:rRNA from 1 species